CUGGCUCCAGGCGGGAUGAACACCGGCCACACCACAGCUUGGCUUCCAGCGUAGAAACACACCCUUUAUCCACUCGUGGACUUGUGGUCGAGCCCGCCGGCCGCCGCCGGCCGCCACCGCCCUCCAUUGUCCCCCUCUUCCGCGAGGGGCCACCACUCGUGCCCAUACCCUCUCCAUUCAUCUCUCUCGCUUCUCCUUUUUUCUGUCCACUUCGAUGCCGCCAUCUCCUUACUACAGGCAUCUCUGGCCUCCACAUACUGCCGAAAGGUCCUAUCAAUCACGGUUCCAAUCUUGAGUGCAACAGCACGUAUCGGUUCGAUUCUUUGCUUCAAACAUAAGUCUCGCAUCAAUCCACUUAUCCCUUAUCAGUUGCUUGCUCCCUUUGCAAUCACUUAGAUAUAAUGCUUGCUCCCUUUGCAAUCAGUUAGAUAUAACCUAUUCACUUCUUGAAUCAAGAUGAAAGAUGCUGGUUUUGCAGGGUCUGGGGCUAGUGAAAAAUGAAGCAAUGACUAAUCAACGAGCCCCUCAGGAGAUUACAGGUACCAAUGUCUGGUCAAUCGAUAUUGUUUUUACUCUAAAUUUUAUAUUCUCGUUUUGAUGGUUCAGGUUAUGACCCUCCCGUGACUGAAUUUUUUCCUGAGCACAAGAGACGCAGAGAGUAGACUGUGGAGAUCUAGUUAAUUUUGCCGAUGCAGUGAGUCGUGGUGGACCCAUGGCAAUACAUUUACAAUGCAUAUGGACAUUAGAGUAUAUGUCAGUUUAUUUCCUCCUGGUGAUUGGCUCGCACUGCUAGAGCCUUUUGGAAGCUGUAGAGGAAGAGAAAAAGAGAAAUAUCCAACUGCCCAAAGAGGUCCUCGACGAGAUCGAGAUCACCACCUAGUUGGAAGUCAUGUUCUUGGAGCAAUCCGGAGUGUAAAUGUUUGAUGUUGUAGUUUGUACUUUGUAGUAAUCACAGAUGUAUAGAGAUUUUUUGUUGACAAGAUCAAGUGUCCAUGUAGGAUCUGUGC
rnacentral:lncRNA from 1 species